rnacentral:rRNA from 1 species
AGCGAACGCUGGCGGCAGGCCUAACACAUGCAAGUCGAACGAACCUUUCGGGGUUAGUGUCGGACGGGUGCGUAACACGUGGGAACGUGCCUUUAGGUUCGGAAUAACUCAGGGAAACUUGUGCUAAUACCGAAUGUGCCCUUCGGGGGAAAGAUUAAUCGCCUUUCGAGCGGCCCGCGUUGGAUUAGCUAGUUGGUUGAGGUAAUGGCGCACCAAGGCGACGAUCAGUAGCUGGUCUGAGAGGAGGAUCAGCCACAUUGGGACUGAGACACGGCCCACACUCCUACGGGAGGCAGCAGUGGGGAAUCGGGAGCAAGGGGCGAAAGCCUGACGUAGACAUGCAGCGUGAAUGAGGAAGGUCUUAGGAUUGUAAAAUUGUUUCACCGGGGAAGAUAAUGACGGUACCCGGAGAAGAAGCCCCGGCUAACUUCGUG